rnacentral:rRNA from 1 species
AUGUGGAGGAAGGUCGCACGGUGGGAGGAUCCCGGUGGUUGUCGCACUGCAGCAGGAUCCCGACGACGGGAGGUGGGGCGAUGCGGUUGCAGUGGCGCGAUCCCCAUCGUGGGAUGGUGCCUGCAGCUCGAUCCCCAUCGUGGGACGGUGCCUGUGGCGCGAUCCCCAUCGUGGGCAGUGGCGACGGUGCGAUCCAAGGCGAGGGAUGGUUCCGACGCCGGUUGGUAG